rnacentral:rRNA from 1 species
CCUACGGGAGGCAGCAGUGGGGAAUUUUGGACAAUGGGGGCAACCCUGAUCCAGCAAUGCCGCGUGAGUGAAGAAGGCCUUCGGGUUGUAAAGCUCUUUUGUCAGGGAAGAAACGGUGAGUUCUAAUACAACUUGCUAAUGACGGUACCUGAAGAAUAAGCACCGGCUAACUACGUGCCAGCAGCCGCGGUAAUACGUAGGGUGCAAGCGUUAAUCGGAAUUACUGGGCGUAAAGCGUGCGCAGGCGGUUAUAUAAGACAGAGGUGAAAUCCCCGGGCUCGAACCUGGGAACUGCCUUUGUGACUGUAUGGCUAGAGUGUGUCAGAGGGGGGUAGAAGUUCCACGUGUAGCAGUGAAAUGCGUAGAUAUGUGGAGGAAUACCGAUGGCGAAGGCAGCCCCCUGGGAUAACACUGACGCUCAUGCACGAAAGCGUGGGGAGCAAACAGGAUUAGAUACCCUGGUAGUCCACGCCCUAAACGAUGUCUACUAGUUGUCGGGACUUAAUUGUCUUGGUAACGCAGCUAACGCGUGAAGUAGACCGCCUGGGGAGGUACGGUCGCGAGAGUAAACGUUAAAGUAAGUAGUAGAGUGUAGAGACGCGACGACGACGACGACGGAGGGAGGAGG